GGGUGUGAUUAUAACAGCAUCGGUGUAUCUGAUUCCAUCGAAAUUCUGUAGUUAAAUUUACUUGGGUUAAAGUAGUACUGGGAUGUGUGACUUUUUGGGAAAUCCUAGUAUUCCUUCAG
rnacentral:rRNA from 1 species